rnacentral:rRNA from 1 species
AGCAGCCGCGGUAACUCCAGCUCCAAUAGCGUAUAUUAAAGUUGUUGCAGUUAAAAAGCUCGUAGUUGGAUUUUGGGUCAUGCCCACCUGUCUGCCGCAAGGUAUGUUCGGGUGGGUGUUUCCUUCUUCCUGAGUUUCGUGUGUGCUCUUAACCGAGUGUGCAUUUGGAAUUCAGGACUUUUACUGUGAGAAAAUUAGAGUGUUCAAAGCAGGCAUACCGCUUGAAUAUUGCAGCAUGGAAUAAUGGAAUAGGAUCACGGUCCUAUUUUGUUGGUUUCUAGGAUCGAGAUAAUGAUUAAUAGGGAUAGUUGGGGGCAUUAAUAUUUAAUUGUCAGAGGUGAAAUUCUUGGAUUUAUGAAAGAUUAACUUCUGCGAAAGCAUUUGCCAAGGAUGUUUUCGUUAAUCAAGAACGAAAGUUAGGGGAUCGAAGACGAUCAGAUACCGUCGUAGUCUUAACCAUAAACUAUGCCGACUAGGGAUCGGAUGAUGUUAAUUUUAUAAUGACUCA